rnacentral:lncRNA from 1 species
AUGAAUCUCCAGAAACUGACCCUAAUGUCCAUGGAGAAUGUGAACAGAACUAAUGAGGCGUCAAGAAGAACUCAGACGCUUGGAAGAACUCUGAAACCAGGAGUUGCAAAAACAGAAGCAAAUACAACUAAGUGGAAGAAAUCACCAUAUCUUUUAAUCAGUGGACUCAGAUUUAGCAGGAGUGUUAUGCAACUAAUAAGAACAAGUUUCAGACAUGAAGAGGAGCAUCGGCGGCGUGAGGAAGAAAUGAUCUGACACAGAGAACAGAAGGAACUGAGGCCACAGCAAGAGGGCUUUAAGCCAAACUACAUGGAAAAUGUAAGUAAACUACUAGUUAACUAAAAUGAUUUUAUAUUUUCAGGUUUAUGAUGUAUAUUUAGAAUUCUUUAGAUUUUGGUUUAUACAGUAGUCUUUUCUAAUCUUUCUAAAUUCAUCAUGUUUGAUAAAUUAGUGAUUAGUGAUUUUCUUUUCUUUUCUUUUUUUUUUUGAGACGGAGUCUUGCUCUGUCGCCCAGGCUGGAGUGCAGUGGCCGGAUCUCAGCUCACUGCAAGCUCCGCCUUCUGGGUUCACGCCAUUCUCCUGCCUCAGCCUCCCGAGUAGCUGGGACUACAGGUGCCUGCCACCUCGACCGGCUAAUUUCUUGUAUUUUUUAGUAGAGACGGGGUUUCACCGUGUUAGCCACGAUAGUCUCGAUCUCCUGACCUCGUGAUCCGCCCAUCUCGGCCUCCCAAAGUGCUGGGAUUACAGGCUUGAGCCACCGCGCCCGGCCCAAUAAAUUAGUGAUUUUCUUAACCUGUCAUGGGUGGUAAAGUAAAACUAGUUUCUGAAUAUAACAUUUAUGUUUUAUGAAGUGGAUGUUAUAUUUUCUCCUAUUAUUUUAGUUGAUCUUUAAAAACAUAUGCUAUUAAGUUAGAAAUAUUGAUAUGUACAUCAUUUCCACUUGACUGAUUUUCACUAUAUAGUAAUAUUGAAACAUCUUUGUUUUGGAAGAUUUCAGACAUGUACAAAAAGAUUCUAGUGUGUACACAUCAUCAGCCAUAACACUUAUAAACGUAUGGCCGAUUUUUUACAUCUUUAAGUAUAACCACUUUAUUUCCCAAUUUAUGUUAUUUGAAAUACCUGAUUUCAUAUAAUUUUAUUAUUUUCAGUAUGUAUCUCUAAAAGAUGAGGACUUUAAAAAAAAAUCUUUAUCAUAUUUUAAAAAUGGCAGUUCUUUCGUUUUAACUAAUUAAAGCCCAGAUUUGCACAGGUCUUAAUUUUUUUUUUUUUUUUUUAACAUUUGGUUUCUAAUUGGCUGAUAUAUUCAGGCUCUUUUAGUCUAUAGGUUUUCUCUUCCUGUCUUUAAUUUUUUACUAACCAUUUUUUUUUUUGAGACAGAGUCUUGCUCUCUCGACUAGGCUGCAGUGCAGUGGCAUGAUCGCAGCUCACUGCAACCUCUGCUUCCAGGGUUCAAGCAAUUCUCCUGCCUCAGUCUCCCAAGUAGCUGGGAUUACAGGUACGUGCCACCACACCCGGCUAAUUUUUGUAUUUUUAGUAGAGACGGGGAUUCACUAUGUUGGCCAGGCUGGUCUCAAACUCUUGACCUCAAGCGAUCUGCCUGCCUCAGCCUCCAAAAGUGCUGGGAUUACAGGUGUAAACCGCCACGCUCGGCUGACAUUUCUAAAAUAGAUCAUCUAUUGUUUCAUAAGAUUAUGCUCAUAGAAAAGCAUUAGGUGACAAUAUACCUUCUUUUCUAGUAGCUUCUUAACGUGUGUAUCGCAUACUUGAAGCAUCAUGAUAAAAUUAGUUUGGCUAGAGUGUAAGUUGGCAAGCUGUAGCCUGGGACCACGGCCUGGUUUUUAUUACUCCACCACAGAGAUAUUGAUGGCGUUUAUGUUUUUAAAGGGUUAUUGCAAAAGAAAGAAGAAGAUUAGAAAUGAUUUGUGACCCACAGUAACUUAAAAUAUUUGCUUUCUGAUCUUUUUAUAAUGUCUGUGGAAACCUGGGCUGGAAUAUUUAUUUAUUUAUUUUUUCAUUUUAAAAUUAGUAUUGAUGGUAGAUAGACCACAAACUUACUAUGCUCUUAACUUUUUGGAGUAUCCAUGUUUCAAAUAGUAUGUAAAUGAGGUAUGAUAAUUGUGUAACACUGACUAGUGUUCUAUUAGUUUAUUUGUGACUAGAAAUUAUAUAAAUCUGCACAAGGUUUUCAUUAUUUUGCUGUCAGUUUUAUUUGGUUCCAAGCUUCACAAUGCUCCUUGUUACUAUAAACUUAAUCAAGCACUAAAAGCAGUAUGAAUGAAAGCUCUACCUAUCUCAAAUAUUUUGUGUUAAUAGGAAUGUAGUAAUAGGAAAACGUUGUAUUAAGAAUGCAUUGAGGCUAUUCUGUCAGUUGUUCUUCAUUUACUUUGAAAACUGUCUUUGGAGAAAAUUAUUAAACAAUUUUAAUGUGUGUGUGUGUGUGUGUGUUUUAAGCUUUGAAAUUAGGCCCUCUUAUGUGCUUUCUCUUAUUUAACUGUUCAAUUUAAAGGGAGGAAUCAAAUGGUAAGUGUUCAACUUGUCCAAGUAAUGAGUAAAGUUGAUUUUCUUCGUCAAUUUUAAGAUGCCGCCUCUCUCUUCUUGUCUUCCUAACUGAAAUACUUCAACACAACUAAGGGUUAUGGAACUUUUAAGUAUAAAAUAAAUAUUCAUUUACGUAUUUCACCUUUUAAAUAAUAAUUUCAUGUAACAAAGAAUGACAGAAAACACAUGUCAUAUCUGGUCAUCUUUUUCUUUGUCAGCCUUCAACUUGACCAUAAUUUUAUGACACAUGGGAAUAUAUUUUUAAGAGUUUCAAGGAUAUAAGCCAGUACUUCAUCAAUAUCAGUUGUCAUUUUUAUUUAAUACUUUAUUUUUCCUUAGAAGAUAAACUUUUUGAUAAUUGUUGUUGAAACUAUAAAUUAAACAACAUUUUUUACUCAUUUAUGAUAACAUUCAACUGCCUUAAGAAUGAAUACAUUUUUAUAUGUCUUAAUUGCAUUUAGGUUUGCCUUUACCAUAAUAUAGAGUGUGUUUGAUUUUUUUUCCAGGCAGUAUUUACUAAGUGGAAAUUUUCUACUUAUCACAAUUUUUGGACACAUUAAAAGCUAUUAUUCUGGAAGCAAUGAGAAUUUCAUGAGAUUAUUUUUUAUAAUUGUCUUGUGAUUGUUUUCAUAUUAGGUUACUCCACCACCUGUAGAUUAAGUAGUUUAAACACUUCAGUACUUACCAGUCUUUAUUUAUAGGAAAAAUUUGCAUUGGAGUAAAUGACAGAUUUUAGUUCUAGCAUUUUGUUGAUGCAGUUUCUUGGAGUAACAUUGCUUCUUGGGAAAAUGUUAAUGUCAUAAAAAUAUCCAAAUGUCCAUCUUAUUUUAGCUUUAGUUUUUGUAUCAUGUAGUUAUGAAAUAUUUGAGUUAGAAAAAUUGGGGUGAUGUUUAAAUUGUAUGUUACUUGGUUUUAAAAUCUGAGAAGUUUCUUUUUUUUUUUUAAUUUAUUUGUUGCAACAGAGUUUCGCUCUUGUCGUUCAGGCUGGAGUGCAAUAGGACGAUCUCAGCUCACUGCAACCUCUGCCUCCUGGGUUCAAGCGAUUCUCCUGCCUCAACCUCCCGAGUAGCUGGGAUUACAGGCGCCUGCCAUCAUGCCCUCAUGCCCAGCCAAUUUUUGUAUUUUUGGUAGAGAUGGGGUUUCACCAUGUUGGCCAGGCUAGUCUCGAACUCCUGACCUCAGGUGAUCCGCCCACCUUGGCCUCACAAAGUGCUGGGAUUACAGGCAUGAGCCACCAUGCCCAGCUGAGAAGUUUCUUUUUCUUGUAUGGUACAUAUUAAUGUUCGCCUUUUCAAUAAAGAAAAGAAUAAUUCUUCAUUUUCAGGUUUCCUGUGUUCAACUAAAUAUAUACCUGACUUGCUAUUAAACCUUAUUAGUCCCAUUUGAGUAGUUGGGAAUAGCCCCGGAUAUUUCAGCACAGUUUAUUCAACACACAUAAUAAACUUGAAAAUAAAGGGAUGUUAUUCUAAGGCAACAGUUUGACUCAGUUGUAUUUCUUUGCUUGUCAGAGGUGUUCCAUUGUAGCACCCGAGGGACUGUGAGGCCAGAACGAUUAAGGGAAUGUUGGCAGAGGCUAAUAGUGUAGUGCUUCUUCCAAAGACAGUGUAAAUUUUUUUUUCUCUUUUAGAGAUGGGAUCUUGAUAUAUUGCCCAGGCUGGGCUCAAGCAGUCGUCCUUCCUCAUUCUCCUGAAUGGCUGAGACAACAAGCAUAUGCCACUGCGCCCAGCAGAACAGUAUUUUUCC